AGUCUCCAUCGGUGUGUAGAGUUCUAGGUAUACAGUUGAAAAGACACUAAGUCACACGCUAUAAUCUGUCAACUUUUGAGCAUAUCUUUUUCACCGUGCAUAACUGACAAAUGAAUUUGUUUUUGUUUUUCUCGACCUUUGUCAAAAGUUUUGUUUUUCUUUUCCGUUUUUCAAUAAUUAAAUUAUUUUGGUUUGCGUUUUUAAUUUUAUUGAUCUGUUUAUUUACACUAUGCAUCAGGUCAAGGAAAAAGUGUUGGAAAUUUACAGCCAUCUCCUCACGGCGUAUGUCCGACAUUCCCGCUUCACUUCCAUUGGCAGCAUAUUCCAACACGAUGGUCCAUACACUAGCACACUUUUCCUGCUAGAUGUACUAGAGAUGUUGAAACCUCUUGUGCUUUCCAGCUGCGAUCGUAUCCGGGUAGUGUUCCGUCGAUAGGAUUUUUCAUAAAGCCACAAAUCCGGAAUCGGUAUAGUUGUGCGGUAGAUCGUGCCCAAGAAUUUCUUUCCGUUAUGCUGCAGUCGUGUCUCGAUGACGAAGGCGGUGGAUGAAACGGAUAGCUGACGAUGGAGGUGCUCUUUAAGCGCAGCAGACAGACCCGGGUAGUAUACAUUACAUAGCAGCAGGUGAAGAAUGGCACUUACGGCUUGCACUAGCUUUCGUUUUGUUUGUAUCGAGAGCACAGAGACAAAUCGCCUGAAUGUCCUCAGAGUGUUAUACAUCUUCUUCACCACGUCAUUCACCUGCUGUGCCCAACUUAAUUUGCAGUCGAGUUGCAAGCCAAGCUAAAUUCAAGCGCGUAGCUACUUACUACUCAUCAGGGAACGUAUGAGAAGAGUAAUGCUGAAAAAAGAGAUCUCACAUCAUCCAAUCUCCGAGGAACAAGCAAGGCCUGCUUUAUUGGACUACCGUUCAAGGCUAAAAUACACGGUAUAUAUUAGAUCACAUCCGUGAAAUCAGUACCAGAUGAUACGUGAUGCGGCUCUAAACAAAAUAGUAAACAUGUGCUACCACCACGACAGGAUGUCUUUGGUUGCCAUCUCAGUGCUAAUGGCGUAAGGAAGCCGAUCCAUCACGACAACAUAUCCGAGGGAGAAAGUGUAUGCACAAAUGGAUAUUAAAAUAAAAUACCUACCUAUAUUUUUCUGUGUUUAACCAUUUUGUAUGUCACCCAAAAAAAUUGGAAACUCUUGAAUAAAAAGAGUUUCUGGUAAUCUGGUAAUAUCAACGCACCCUGUGACCGCAGCCUAUCUGCGUUGAUAUAAUUAC